GGGCGUAUGAUGAAAAUUUAAUUAUCUUAGCGGAUUUCAGUGAGAUCUUAGUGUCAAUGAUCUGAUCGUUACACACACUGAAGCCC